rnacentral:rRNA from 1 species
AGUGAACGCUGGCGGUAGGCCUAACACAUGCAAGUCGAACGGCAGCACAGUAAGAGCUUGCUCUUACGGGUGGCGAGUGGCGGACGGGUGAGGAAUACAUCGGAAUCUACUUUUUCGUGGGGGAUAACGUAGGGAAACUUACGCUAAUACCGCAUACGACCUACGGGUGAAAGCAGGGGAUCUUCGGACCUUGCGCGAUUGAAUGAGCCGAUGUCGGAUUAGCUAGUUGGCGGGGUAAAGGCCCACCAAGGCGACGAUCCGUAGCUGGUCUGAGAGGAUGAUCAGCCACACUGGAACGGAGACAGGGUCCAGACUCCUACGAGAGGCAGCAGUGGGGAAUAUUAGACAAUGGGGGCAAGCCUGAUCCAGCCAUACCGCGUGGGUGAAGAAGGCCUUCGGGUUGUAAAGCCCUUUUGUUGGGAAAGAAAAGCAGCAGGUUAAUACCCCGCUGUUCUGACGGUACCCAAAGAAUAAGCACCGGCUAACUUCGUG